rnacentral:rRNA from 1 species
AACGAACGCUGGCGGCAUGCCUAACACAUGCAAGUCGAACGAGAUCUUCGGGUCUAGUGGCGCACGGGUGCGUAACGCGUGGGAAUCUGCCCUUUGGUUCGGAAUAACAGUUGGAACGACUGCUAAUACCGGAUGAUGACGAAAGUCCAAAGAUUUAUCGCCAGAGGAUGAGCCCGCGUAGGAUUAGCUAGUUGGUGUGGUAAAGGCGCAUCAAGGCGACGAUCCUUAGCUGGUCUGAGAGGAUGAUCAGCCACACUGGGACUGAGACACGGCCCAGACUCCUACGGGAGGCAGCAGUGGGGAAUAUUGGACAAUAGGCGAAAGCCUGAUCCAGCAAUGCCGCGUGAGUGAUGAAGGCCUUAGGGUUGUAAAGCUCUUUUACCCGGGAUGAUAAUGACAGUACCGGGAGAAUAAGCUCCGGCUAACUCCGUGCCAGCCGCCGCCGUAA